AUUGAACGCUGGCGGCAGGCCUAACACAUGCAAGUCGAGCGGCAGCACGGGAGCUUGCUCCUGGUGGCGAGCGGCGGACGGGUGAGGAACACGUGGGAAUCUACCUAUUGGUGGGGGAUAACUUGGGGAAACUCAAGGUAAUACCGCAUUAUCCCUACGGGGGAAAGCAGGGGACCUUCGGGCCUUGCGCCGAUAGAUGAGCCCGCGUCGGAUUAGCUAGUUGGUAGGGUAAAGGCCUACCAAGGCGACGAUCCGUAGCUGGUCUGAGAGGAUGAUCAGCCACACUGGGACUGAGACACGGCCCAGACUCCUACGGGAGGCAGCAGUGGGGAAUAUUGGACAAUGGGGGCAACCCUGAUCCAGCCAUGCCGCGUGUGUGAAGAAGGCCUUAGGGUUGUAAAGCACUUUCAGUGGGGAGGAAGGCUUCUGGCUAAUAACCGUGGAGUACUUGACGUUACCCACAGAAGAAGCACCGCUAAUU
rnacentral:rRNA from 1 species